AUGGAGGCAAAGUUUGAGGAGGAGAGGAGGUGCCGACUGGAGAUCGAGGCCAAGCUGGAGCAGGAGCGGAAGCUGAGGGAGGAGCAAUCGGUUAUGUUGCAAAGCAUGGUCACCUGGAUGCAAGGACUUGGCGCGUCGAUGAACUAUGCGAUGCCGCCUCCUCCCUUCGCCUUACUUUCCUGCAGGACCUUCUGACACUCCAAAUCAGUCGUGGAACGCAUCGAACGACCCUCCUCCGGACCAGAACUCGCCGGCCGCCCAGUGGCCAACUUGGCCCCACAGACCUGAGCAGUGAGUGCCUUGUAGUACUAGUGUAUUGGACUUAUUAUACGUAUCGGACUAUAUUCUGUUUUAUGGACUAGUGUUAUGUAUCGGACUUGUGACAUAUGUGGACUAUAUUCUAUGUGAUGAACUUGUGUUAUGUAUCGGACUCGUGUUAUGUAUUGGACUUGUGAUAUAUGUGAUGGACUGUGUUAUUUGUAUCGA